GUGUUCUUUGAUAUGCUGAAUUUAAAAAUGUACUUAGAUUUUUAAUUAUUGGCCUAGUUUUCAAGUUGGUCCAAAUGGGGGUCCAAAAUUAAACUUUGUUUGAUUUCAUCAAAAAUUGAAUAAAUGGGUUCUUUGAUAUGCCAAAUCUAACUGUGUAUGUAGAUUCUUAAUUUUUGGUCCAGUUUUCAAAUUGGUCUACAUUAAGGUCCAAAGGGUCCAAAAUUAAACUAAGUUUGAUUUUAACAAAAAUUAAAUUCUUGGGCUUAUUUGAUAUGCUUUAUCUAAAUAUGUACUUUGAUUUUUUGAUUAUGGGCCCAGUUUUCAAGUUGGUCCAAAUCAGGAUUCUAUAUCAAGUAUUGUGCAAUAGCAAGAAAUUUUCAAUUGCACAGUAUUGCACAAUAGCAAGAAAUAUCUAAUUGCACAAUAUUGUGCAAUAGCAAUUAAUUUUCAAUUGGAGUUAUCUUUCUUUGUAUAGAAUAGUAGUUGAUAAUAUAUGUUGGAAAUUUGCCAG
rnacentral:lncRNA from 1 species